rnacentral:lncRNA from 1 species
CUCCGUGUGAGCAACAUGGCUGUUUAUUUCACCUGGGUGCAGGUGGGCUGAGUCCGAAAAGAGAGUCAGCGAAGGGAGAUAGGGGUGGGGCCGUUUUAUAGGAUUUGGGAAGGUAAUGGAAAAUUAGUCAAAGGGGGUUGUUCUCUGGUGGGCAGGGGUGGGGGGUCACAAGGUGCUCAGUGGGGGAGCUUCUGAGCCAGGAGAAGGAAAUUCGCAGGGUUAAUCACUCAGUUAAGGUGGGGCAGGAACAAAUCACAAUAGUGGAAUGUCAUCAGUUAAGGCGGGGCAGGGCCUUUUCACUUCUUUUGUGAUUCUUCAGUUACUUCAGGCCAUCUGGGCGUAUACGUGCAAGUCACAGGGGAUGCGAUGGCUUGGCUUGGGCUCAGAGGCCUGACAUUCCUGCCUUCUUAUAUUAAUAAGAAAAAUAAAACAAAAUAGUGUUGAAGUGUUGAGGCGGCAAAAAUUUUUGGGGGUGUUAUGGAGAGAGAAUGGGUGAUGUUUCUCAGAGCUGCUUCAAGUGGGAUUAGGGGCGGCGUGGGAACCUAGAGUGGGAGAGAUUAAGCUGAAGGGAGGUCUUGUGGUAAGGGGUGAUAUUGUGGGGAUGUAAGAAGAAACAUUUGUCAUAUAGAAUGAUUGGUGAUGGCCUGGAUACGGUUUUGUAUGAAUUGAAAAACUAAAUGGAAUAUGAGAAGGCGAAAAACAGGUAUAAAAGGACUAAGAAUUGGGAGGACCUAGGCCAUCUAAUUAGAGAGUGCCUAAGGAGAUUCAGCAUAGUCCUGCCGGCAAAGAUUAUUUAUUUACUUCAAGAGUUUAGAGUGGCAGUUUGGGGAUAGCACUAGGAGAUAUCACCUGUGAUGUCUUGGAGAAAGAGUGUAAACCGGCAGUGUAAACAAGAGCAGGGCAUGUGUGAGUAGUUGAGAACAGUGAAUAGGAGUAUGACUAACAGAUGAGGAUGAAAUUUGGGCUUGACUGAAGUAAUGGGGGCUGUCUGUGAAGCCUUGCAGCAGUACAGCCCAGGUAAUUUGCUGAGCCUAAUGGGUGUCAGGGUCAGUCUAAGUGAAGGCAAAGAGAGGCUGGGAUGAAGGGUGCAAGGAAUAGUAAAGAAAGCAUGUUUGAGAUCCAGAACAGAAUAAUGGGUAGUAGAGGGAGGUAUUGAGGAUAGGAGAGUCUAUGGGUUUGGCACCACGGGGUGGAUAGGCAAAACAAUUUGGUUGAUAAGGCGCAGAUUCUGAACUAACUUGUAAGGCUUGUCUGGUUUUAGGACAGGUAAAAUGGGGGAAUGGUAAGGAGAGUUUAUAAGCUUUAAAAGGCCACGCUGUAGCAGGCGAGUGAUAACAGGUUUUAAUCUUUUUAAAGCGUGCUGUGGGAUGGGAUAUUGGCGUUGAGCGGGGUAAGGGUGAUUAGGUUUUAAUGGGAUGGUAAGGGGCAUGUGAUCGGUUGCCAGGGAAGGAGUAGAGAUGUCCCAUACUUGCGGGUUAAGGUGGGGGGAUAUGAGAGGAAGACGCGAAGGAGGCUUUGGGUUGGGGAGAAGGGCGGCAAUGAGAUGUGGCUGUAGUCCAGGAAUAGUCAGGGAAGCAGAUAACUUAGUUAAAGUGUCUCAGCCUAAUAAGGGAACUGGGCAGGUGGGGAUAACGAAAAAGGAGUGCUUAAAAGAGUAUUGUCUAAGUUGGCACCAGAGUUGGGGAGUUUUAAGAGGUUUAGAAGCCUGGCUGUUAAUACCCACAACAGUUAUGGAGGCAAGGGAAACAGGCCCUUGAAAAGAAGGUAAUGUGGAGUGGGUAGCCUCCGUAUUGAUUAAGAAGGGGACGGGCUUACCUUCCACUGUGAGAGUUACCCGAAGCUCGGCGUCCAUGAUGGUCUAGGGGGCUUCCGAGGCGAUCGGGCAGUGUCAGUCUUCAGCCGCUAAGCCAAGAAGAUCUGGGAAGGAGUCAGAGAGCCUUGGGCCAGAGUUCCAGGGUCUCUGAGAGUGGCUGCCAGAAAAUGCUGCUAUGGCAUUCCCUGCAGUCCACGUUGCUAGGAGAGGAUGAAUUCAGGAGCUGUGGGCUUUCCAGACUUUCAGUCAGCCCCUGUCAACACCCCUUAAAUAACCAGUGGUAAACUGCCUGUCAGAAUGAUGGAGAGCCACUUGAUUCCCAUUUCCUUCUCUAGGGCACAGACUCUCACCUCAUUGCCAGGCUGGCAGGUCAUUCGUCCAGGCAUCAUAUGGCUAUAAAACCAGUGGUAUUCUUUUUAUUUGAAAUGGGGUGGUAGUAGUGGUGGUGGGGAGACAUAAAUCCUAAGUGGUUCACACAGGAUGCAAAGUGACACAAUUUGUGUGUAUGUAAGAGUGUAUAUGAGUUUGGGGGUGGGAGGGCCUUAUUUUGGGAGAAAAUUCUCCCAAAUGUUGGAGUAUUGGGGGCAAAAAUUCUGUUACUCUGAACAAUGUCUGCAUAACAGUGAAAAUCAGAGGACCGUAAGUAUUGAAAAGUACUGCCAAAAUAAUGGGGUUUGAAGGCAGAUGUGUAUUGAAAAACCCUGAAUGAGAAUAAGGGUGCUGCUGAAUCAGGAGGCAGAAAGGAGGGACUUUCAGCUGGUUCACAUGGAAGAGAUAUGAAAUGCUUUAGACAGUCUGGAAAGGUAGGAAGCAGAUGUGAAAUGAACAGGGGGCAACCUGUUGAGAGCUGUUUUGAGAACUGAGAGAACAGACAUCUCAGUAUGCCUCAAAUAUUGAGCUAGAAAAGAGGCAGCCUAAAGGAGCAUCUAACACAAGCCAAAACAAAACCAAAAUACCUUAAAUCAAGCCCAAAAAAAAAAGACAACAGGAAAGAACCUUCCUCCUGGAAAUAUAAAUGUGGUAGAGGGGUUAAUGAUGGUGCUGUAUAUCAGGAAUGGAAGGUAGGAGCAGCAGGAUUCAGAAUUCUUGGAGUAGAGGUUGAGUGAAGAAGUCAGCUCACUAAAGGGAACUAGAGUAAUGCUUGCAAGGACCUUGUCUGUUUCACAUGCUGGUUGUUCCAUGGUGGCAGAAGUGGGAUCUGAUGUUCUACAUCUUGCAUAACUAAAAAGGUAGCAUGCACUAAACUUGGAAAGAUCUUAAAUCUGUACCCUGAAAAUUAUCCCACAUUCGUGGAAAAAUUAGUAUGCCUAUUAGUAUUGUCACCAUGCAAGAACUGCACUGGCAAUGAAGACAGUGAUGUAAGAAGACAGAAGUGAGUCCAGACACAGGAUCCAUUGUCUAAGCAACUGAUGGGAGAAAUGGCUUCGUGACUGUCCUGAGGCAAUGGUGGUGAGGCAGGAAUUAAACACCUCCCAGGGAUGAAAUGGUGUCACCUUGUAUUGUGUUUCACCUUAAUUAUCUCCAUGAGAACUUCACACAUGUAUUAAAAAAACCCAACAUGACACAUUCGUAAGGUAGUUACUAUCUGUUGCAGAAUUUCAUGUAUUAUAUUUGUGCCCUAAGUUAGCCAUUAUUAUCCCAAUUUUAUAGUUAAGGGAAUGGAAACUCAAAAAACAUAUGGCUUGCUUACAGAGCUACACAACUUGUGGGAGAGGAGCUGGGAUUGGGACUCCAAUUUUGGGACUCUGUGUUCAUCAUGUUUUUUGGUCCCCCAUGUUCCCCUUCUUUAAAUGACUGAGUACAUGUCAUUUCAAAAACUUGUGGCCUUGGGCAAUGGCAGGCAGAAUAGGAAGUAAAUAUGUCUCAUUUUCCCUUUGUGAUUUCUCUAUGGUUCCAUAAAGAAAUAAACACAUUUAAAAGGUUAGCCAUUUGCCUUUGCCUG